CGGGCAGACUAGAGUGCGUAGGGGAGAUUGGAUUCCUGGUGUAGCGGGGAAUGCGCAGAUAUCAGGAGGACACCGAUGGCGAAGCAGAUCUCUGGGCCGUACUGACGCUGAGGAGCGAAAGGGUGGGGAGCAAACAGGCUUAGAUACCCUGGUAGUCCACCCCGUAAACGUUGGGAACUAGUUGUGGGGUCCAUUCCACGGAUUCCGUGACGCAGCUAACGCAUUAAGUUCCCCGCCUGGGGAGUACGGCCGCAAGGCUAAAACUCAAAGGAAUUGACGGGGACCCGCACAAGCGACGGAGCAUGCGGAUUAAUUCGAUGCAACGCGAAGAACCUUACCAAGACUUGACAUAUACGAGAACGGGCCAGAAAUGGUCAACUCUUUGGACACUCGUAAACAGGUGGUGCAUGGUUGUCGUCAGCUCGUGUCGUGAGAUGUUGGGUUAAGUCCCGCAACGAGCGCAACCCUCGUUCUAUGUUGCCAGCACGUAAUGGUGGGAACUCAUGGGAUACUGCCGGGGUCAACUCGGAGGAAGGUGGGGAUGACGUCAAAUCAUCAUGCCCCUUAUGUCUUGGGCUUCACGCAUGCUACAAUGGCCGGUACAAAGGGCUGCAAUACCGCGAGGUGGAGCGAAUCCCAAAAAGCCGGUCCCAGUUCGGAUUGAGGUCUGCAACUCGACCUCAUGAAGUCGGAGUCGCUAGUAAUCGCAGAUCAGCAACGCUGCGGUGAAUACGUUCCCGGGUCUUGUACACACCGCCCGUCAAGUCAUGAAAGUCGGUAACACCUGAAGCCGGUGGCCUAACCCUUGUGGAGGGAGCUGUCGAAGGUGGGAUCGGUAAUUAGGACUAAGUCGUAACAAGGUAACCAAGGG
rnacentral:rRNA from 1 species